ensembl:lncRNA
AUGCAAAAGAAAGUUUCAGAGAUUCUGCAUGAAAUGACAAUGAGGUUUGGAACCGACUUGGUGAAGAACAUGGAAACAUCUCUGAAUGAAAUGGCCCCAAACAUCAUCAGGAGUGCAAAAGAAGGAAGUAAAAAAAAAAAAAACUACGUCAAUCUCAUUGGACUAGCAGAGGAAACCACAGAAGGUAACUACACCAUAUAUCUUUCCCCAUCUAACCUAUCUGUUCCAUGCCCAGUGUAAAGUUGCAUUGUUUGCAUUGUCAAUGUAAAGGUUGUAGCUCCUAUAAAUUGUAUAAGUGAAAACAUGUAUUAAAAUAAUGCAAAUAUUAAAGGAACAGUUAACCCCCAAAUAAAAAUCGUCAUCCUUUACUCACCUCUUGUCAUUUCAAAUCUUUAUGGCUUUCUUCUUCAGAACACUGUAGAAGAUAUUUUGAAGAAGGAUGGUAACCAAACAACGACGGUGCCCAUUGGUUUGGUGUCUAUAUAAUAGAAGUGAAUGAGGACCAGCAUUGUUCGGUCACCAACAUUCUUCAAAAUAAUUUUUUUGUGUGUCAUGCUGAAGAAAGAAAGCUAUAUAGGUUUAAAAUAACAAGAGUGAGUGAAUGAUGACAGAAUGUUCAUUUUUGGAUAAACUAUCCCUUUAAUUGAUUUCUGUACCUAAUAUACAAUAAUUUGUAUCUGUUUGUAGGUCUCGUUAGGAAUGCUGCACUCAUUUUAUUGCCAGCACUAUUUAAAGAAAACGCCAGCUUCCUCUACUGUGUAGAUAGUGUAAGUAUAGUCUUCUGUAGUUUCAUUAAUAUUUGAUGCACUUGACUUGAAUUAAAGGAACUGUUCAUGCAAAUAUAAAAAUAUUAGUCAGUUUACUCACCCUUAUGCCAAAUUUGUAACAAUUAAAAAAAAAAUUACAUUUACCCUAUAAUUUACUCACUCUCUUCCUUAGUCAUAAACUUUGUACUGUUUGCACUGCUUUGUAAUGUCAUUGAAUGGCACCCCAAUUUAAAUCAUAAAAUAAAUCUGUACAACUCCAGGGGUUAAUACUUGUCUUCUAAAGCAAAAUGGUACAGUAUGUACAAAUGGUACGUUAGUGAGAUUACAUUUGCCAAGAUAGGUUGCUAUAAUUAGACUAUGUAUAGAUAAGGGAAUAACAUCCAAUGGGGUGGCACUUUACAUCGAUAAUUAUGAGUCUUGUUGGUUCUUGCGUGUCACGUUUUUAGCUGUCAUAUCUGUGUUGUGUCAUGAACUAUUCAUUUAAAAGAACGAAAGAACUGAUGAGAUUCAAAGUAAUCAAAGUGGAACUGACGUGGUAAUGUUGACAUUCAAACACAUUACAAAGCUUUUUAUUAUUAAAUAUAUCUCAGAUUGUGUUAAACUGGAGAAACAGUCAUAUACAUUGGUUGUUUUUUUGGUAAGUAAAUUAUGGGGUAAUUUUUAAGUCUAUUUGAUGACUUCUGUUAAUUGGUGAAAAGCACUCAAAAGGUGAAAUGUUUGUUUUAUAGGAACCCAAAGGUGCUACACCAACCAUAGUGUUUAACGGCUCUCCUGAUCCCCUCAAGGCUGAAAGUGUCAGCAUUAUAAUGGACAAUGUGAACAUCAUAAGAGAGGCAGACAUUGACAUGACACAGGCUGUGGAAUGCCUAUUUGCAGUCUAUUUUCUCUUCAAUGUGCAGUACCCGGUUGACAUUAAGCACACAAUGACUUUUAUUUAAAAAUAUAUGCUUAACCUUAGACAACAGCACGGCAAAAGAACACCAAUUCAUGUACUGAAAAUGUAUAGUCAACUUGUGUAAAUUGUAGAGCUAUUUAAUAGUUGUUUUAACUGUUCAUGUAUUGAUUUUUAUCUGCACUGUUAAAUAUAAAAAAUGAUUUGUUUUUCCUAAUUUCAGAGAUAUAUGUAAAAGUGAAGUACUGUAUAUGUACGUAAACAAGCUUAUGUAUGUUUAUUGCAAAGUGAAAAUGCUUAAAUGAAAUAAUUCAAACUAAAUGGUUAAAUGUAAUUAAACAUCUUAAAUAUGAAAUUUGCUGUCUAAUACAGAGUAUACAGAGGUGUAAUUUUAAAUGACACUAAAUUUUUUGUAUAAACAGUUGAAUAAAUUUAAACAUUUUAAAUUUUCUGGAUUGUUUAUAUUUUCUUAUUCAAUAAUAAUUUUAACUUGUUUAAUAAUAAAGAACUCUUAAAUGGUUCUAUAUAGAACCAUCUAACUUGGAUUCAAAGAACCAUUUGGGGUUCUUUUUAUGGAACCCAUUAAAGUGGUUCUAUAUAGAACCAUUUUGGAGUUCCAUAUAUGAAGCGGGUGAUAGAACCAUUUUUGGUUCUAAAUAGAACCAUUUCUUUUAAGAGUGUAGGACCUUGGUUUCCAAAUCAAAUACAAAACUUGCAACAGUCCAGUUCUUCUUCUCCUUAGCCCAGGUAAGACGCCUCUGACGUUGUCUGUGAUACAGGAGUGAAUUAACAAGAGGAAUAUGAUAAUACAAUAAGUCACUUUUAUAAAAGGUUUCCUAAUACUAUAGUUAAUAUAUAGUUAACUCCGGAUUCAAGAAUUAGCCUUUUAUUAGUGAAAC